ACUUAGGCCAUCUUCUUAGACUAGAUCAUUAAUUGGUUUAACAUUGUGCUUUGUUUAGUAAGACAAAAUAGCCCCCAAUGACACUGAUAAAAACCUAAGAUCUGGGAAAGGGGCG